GCGCUUGCUUCGGCAGCACAUAUACUAAAACUGGAACGAUACAGAGAAGAUUAGCAUGGCCCCUGUGCAAGGAUGACGCAAAUUCAUGAAGCGUCCCCUAUUUUU